AUACGGAGGGUGCGAGCGUUGUUCGGAAUUAUUGGGCGUAAAGAGCAUGUAGGCGGUCUGUUAAGUCUGGCGUGAAAGCCCGGGGCUCAACCCCGGAAGUGCAUUGGAUACUGGCAGACUUGAGUAUGGGAGAGGAAAGCGGAAUUCCGAGUGUAGGAGUGAAAUCCGUAGAUAUUCGGAGGAACACCAGUGGCGAAGGCGGCUUUCUGGACCAAUACUGACGCUGAGAUGCGAAAGCGUGGGGAGCAAACAGGAUUAGAAACCCCGGUAGUCC
rnacentral:rRNA from 1 species